rnacentral:rRNA from 1 species
AGUUUACUGUUUUUUAUAGUAGAUAUUUUCUGCCCGGUGUUGUUAUAAACGGCCGCGGUAUCUUGACCGUGCAAAGGUAGCAUAAUCAUUUGUUCUUUAAUUGGGGACUGGAAUGAAAGAAAGUUUGAAGGCUAAUCUGUCUCUUUUUUGUGUUAUAACUUGCUGUUUUUGUGAAGAAGCAAAACUGUUAAAAAAAGACAAGAAGACCCUAUUAAGCUUUAUUUCUGUUUUUAUCUUUUUUAUUUAUAUAUUUCUGCUAGAAAAAGAAAUUUGGUUGGGGCGACUGAAGAAGAAAGAAUCUUCUUUUUUUAUUGUGACUUUUGGUUUGAUAAUGAACCGCUAAUUAGCGGUUGAAAGAAUAAGUUACUAUAGGGAUAACAGCGUAAUCUUUUCAUAGAGUUCUUAUUGAAGAAAAGGAUUGCGACCUCGAUGUUGACUUAUUAUUUCCUUUUAAGGUGCAGAAGCUGUAAGGGUUGGUCUGUUCGACCAUUAAAAUAAU